rnacentral:rRNA from 1 species
ACUCAAAUGAAUAGACGGGGGCCCGCACAAGCAGCGGAGCGUGUGGUUUAAUUCGAUGAUACACGAAGAACCUUACCCAGGCUUGACAUGUUGGUAGUAGGGAUCCGAAAGGUGACCGACCCUUCGGGGAGCCUUCACAGGUGCUGCAUGGCUGUCGUCAGCUCGUGUCGUGAGAUGUCCGGUUAAGUCCGGUAACGAGCGCAACCCUCGCUGUGUGUUAUAUGUGUCACACGGGACUGCCGGUAUCAAGCCGGAGGAAGGUGGGGAUGACGUCAAGUCAGCAUGGCCUUUAUGUCUGGGGCUACACACACGCUACAAUGGCCAGUACAAUAGGUUGCAAGACCGCGAGGUGGAGCCAAUCCUUAAAGCUGGUCUCAGUUCGGAUUGCAGGCUGCAACUCGCCUGCAUGAAGUCGGAGUUGCUAGUAACCGCGCGUCAGCCAUAGUGCGGUGAAUACGUUCCCGGGCCUUGUACACACCGCCCGU